AUGUUCGAGCUCCUGCGGUUCAUUGAGGUGGCAACAAACAUUUCUAAAAAAAUAAAGAGAGGCGAGAUUCAUCUGCUUGAUUUCGUUUUUGACGUCAUGCUCCCAGAGGUGAGUAGAUCAAACUAUAUAGCUUGCUUUGAAAAUUGAUGAUAUUGUUAAGAGGUUGUUCUUAUUCAUUUGGAAAGCUCAAGAACAACAAUUAACCCAUACUGCAUAACUUCAAUUGUUCACAUUAUUUGACUGUUUUUCAGCUUUUGAUCAAAGCACUGAAGGAGCAUGGCAUCACCCGGUUCAGAGCAGAGCUGAUGAUGGCCUGUGGCAACGUGUUUUAAGCCCCCCACCACACCGACGGCAGUGCUGAAUUUUGUAUAUAUAUAUAUUCUUUU